GUAGGGAAUCUUCGGCAAUGGGGGGAACCCUGACCGAGCAACGCCGCGUGAGUGAAGAAGGUUUUCGGAUCGUAAAGCUCUGUUGUAAGAGAAGAACGUUGAGUAGAGUGGAAAGUUACUCAAGUGACGGUAUCUUACCAGAAAGGGACGGCUAACUACGUGCCAGCAGCCGCGGUAAUACGUAGGUCCCGAGCGUUGUCCGGAUUUAUUGGGCGUAAAGCGAGCGCAGGCGGCUCUGUAAGUCUGAAGUUAAAGGCAUUGGCUCAACCAAUGUUCGCUUUGGAAACUGCAGGGCUUGAGUGCAGAAGGGGAGAGUGGAAUUCCAUGUGUAGCGGUGAAAUGCGUAGAUAUAUGGAGGAACACCGGUGGCGAAAGCGGCUCUCUGGUCUGUAACUGACGCUGAGGCUCGAAAGCGUGGGGAGCAAACAGGAUUAGAAACCCUAGUAGUCC
rnacentral:rRNA from 1 species